UACGUAGGGACCGAGCGUUGUCCGGAAUCAUUGGGCGUAAAGAGCGUGUAGGCGGCCAAUUAAGUCCUGCGUGAAAUCUCGGGGCUCAACCCCGAGCGGUCGUGGGAAACUGGUUGGCUAGAGUGCGGGAGAGGGUAGCAGAAUUCAUGGUGUAGCAGUGAAAUGCGUAGAUAUCAUGAGGAAUACCAGAGGCGAAGGCGGCUACCUGGACAAUUGCUGACGCUCAGGCACGAAAGCGUGGGGAGCAAAAGGG
rnacentral:rRNA from 1 species